UUCCUGUCUUUGAAGUCAUCUAGAAUUCUUGGUCUGAACACUAAAGUGUAUUUAGUGCUUUCAUCUGAGGCAGUGGAUUGGCAAAACUUUGGCUGGGACCAUUGUAUCUCAUUAGAUAAGUGAUUUUUAACUCAAAUUCAUACUUGGGCAAAUAGACAUGGGGAUUUCAGGUAGGAAGGCUUUGUAUUCCGAGUUGUGUCACCAAGGGAUGGAAGAGCUGUAUGCUUUGGUAAAUGUGCUGCUGCAGUCCUGUUUGCUGUCACUAAGCAGAAGCUAACAUGCAGGAGGCUUUCACAACUGUACAAUUUGCCUGUUGUCUGACCAUAAUCGAAAAUUACAAAUCCUUUCAAAACAAAUGCAUCAUUCCAGAAGUUACGGCUUCUGAGCAUGUUGUUAUACUGCAACUUGCAGCAUGAUUAAUUUUUGCCCCAUAAUUCUGCCAUCUACACCUUUCAUAUGCAGAGCAACCCCAGUUAGAUGCCUGUGACACUCCUGAACGCCACCAGUGUCUGUUGCCAAUCAGAAUUUAGUGAUCUGCUCUUACAUCAACACUGUAGGGUUAUCUUAAAUGAAGUUGCAGCUAAAUCGUGACUCAGGUUUCGACAGUCACCACUCAAGGAAUGACAUGUUCUUUGCACGAUACCUUUGUUUUCUUUUGGGAAAGGUGCUCAUCUCUUGGGCUUAGUUUGUGGCAAAUGACUCACAUUGUUUUUACCAUCUACUGUCAAGCACAUGAGGAUGAACCCUGUUCAGAGCUGCUGUAAUUUUCUGUCUGUUAAGCUUUAAUGUAUUUCCUAGGGAAUAAACACAUAUCACUUAGA